UGUGCCCGAGCGAGCUCCCUAGCGGAGCCGCUCAACCCGGGCUGUGGGCUUUUUAAAGAUAAAAAUCGCUCGCGUGGCCUUUGGGAUUAACGAGCUCGGUAACUCCUUCGGUGCCUGGGCGCUGGCAGCUGGCAAUGGCUUCGCUGCUCCGCCGUUCCUGUAUCCCUGCCGGAGCAUCCCUCGGCCGUGCCCUGGAUACAGCUGAGUGUUGGUGCUCCCAGGGUCAAGCCUCCAAAGGCUGUUCCUGUUCCUGCUGCUCUUUCCUUUCCUCUGCACCCUACUGGAUGAAAUCCCUCUGCAGCCAUGCAUGCUGGAGAGGGGCUGCUGGGGCCUCACUGACUGGAAAAGCAGGAAUAACCACCAAAAUGCAACCGGCGGGGAGGGCUUGGUGCUGGCGGCUGAGCCGGUUGGUGCUGGGUGAUGCUGUGGGGCAGACGGUCCGGGCCUGCCCGUGUUGCCCGUGGCUGCGUGCUGCAGUUCACCCGUGAGCCUGAAGGCAAGCAGAAGCUUUGGGUGGCAGUGCUGAGCCUGAUGCUGUUACCCCCGCCUUGCUCCCCUGGGUGCUGGUUGGCUGUUCACCCACCGAGGGGCUGAAUUAGGUCCUUUUCCCCCUUUUCUGCCUGCAGGUGUUGGAGGCAACAUAGGGCACAUCCAAUCCAAUCUGGGACCAGGCUUCAGCUUGCAGGGGGUUCAGGCUCAUAUCAGGGCUGCAUGAAGCUGUGUGUGCUGUGUGGCACAGCUCAGCCCGUGCUGCAUCACCUCGGUCCCAUCACUCGCUGCCCGUGCUCUCCUUGGUACUGUGAUGUGCUGAUGCUUGCUGUCUUGAAUAGGGCUCCUGCAUGUGUGUGCUGAGCCUGGUGGGAACCUGCCUGUAAAGCUCUGAGCCCCAACACUGCAUUUAGGGGGAAGGUGGGCUGCCCAGGGACCUGGUGGUGGUGAUAUCUGGUGGGGAGGGAUGAAGAAAGCUCCCCUGCAGGCACAUAUCUAGCACUGUUGCCAGUUCCUUUUUGCUUUCCAACCCUUGCCUGCUGUUUGGGUGCCUUGUACCAGCUGCCUAAUUUGUAAUGAUGGUUGCAUUGCAGCAGAUGCCUUGAAGGAGCCCUGUGCUGAGGUGUGCACCCCACUGCAUUCCCUGGGCCGAUUGCUUCUGACAGCACUGCUCCCCACCAGAGCCUGCAUCCUUCCUGCUCUGAUGCUGGAGCAGAAGUUCAAUGGGUGCAAUGCAGCAGUGGUAGGUGUGGGGUCCUGGAGAUGGAGCUGUGUGCAAUCAGCUCCCAGUGUGGUGCUGCUUUGGGAAUGUCCCACUCACACGGGCAUUCCCAUGGCUGGAAGGAACUUGUCUUGCUCUGCCAAAGGCAGAAAUGCAGUAUGGAUAACAUCACCAGGCCAGCAUUGCUAGAGGAGCUAAGAGCCAAGCAACCGCAUCCAUAGGAACCUCGAAUCUUCUCUUAUCUCCCUCAGCACAGAAGUUAAUUGCAUUUCCAUCAAGCUGUCCUGCCUCAGCUGUAUGCUGCAGAGCCAGCACAUGGUGGCUGCUUCUGGACACAGCCUCACCUCUGGUGUCCCACUCUCAUAUGGAGACAUCAUCUUUUCCAGGGCAGUUUGUGCUACAGUCAGGUCUGAGGAGCCCAGGGCUUGAGCUGAGCUGGUUGCCAGGUCCUUAUGGGUGUAUCUCGAAGGUGAGACUUGUCAGGAUGAAGCAAUGGAUGGAGUUUUUUAAUGGGUGUUCAGCAGCCACCGUGGAGAUGCUUAAGGGCAUAAAUUUUUGAAGAGCAUAAUGGAUGUUAAGCUCUCAAAAAGAAAUCCUAAGUCUCUUUAGCUUGGGUUUCCCGAGGUAUUGGUGGCUAGCUUGAAAUGAGAGAGCAAGCAAAAUGAAAUGAAAGGCUUUUAGUUGGUGUGGAGCUCCUGCUCGCUUUGUGUGUCUGAGCAGCAGCGCAGCCCUUUGGGAUGCUGAGCUCAGGACAGCAGGGCCUCAGCUCUGGGUGGGUGCAUUGAGGGGCUCACAUUGCAGAAUAGAGUUGAGGUUUUGUUCCUAGUGCUGAUUGAUUGUGCAGGGAAAAGCAAAUUGGUUGUGCACUAAUUUGGAGGGGAUGGAGGGCUGCAUCCAAAGCCAGCUCCUCUGCAGCUCUGCUCUGAGCACAGAUUGUGCCUGCUGAGGUCUCAGCACCGUUUUAUAGAGCUUUUCCAUAAGGUGUGCACUGUGAGUGCCCUCCCUUGGCUGCAGCAGUGGUAUUUGGGGAUGAGCAAUGCUGGUGCUUUUGGUGUGCUGGUGGAGCUGGGAUUCUGAGUGCCUGGCUUACAGGACAGGUGACCUGCUCUGAGAGGAUGAGUCCUGAUACACAGGGUGUUGCUGGUGUCUUGCUGGCAAGAAGAGGCAGAAAAAGUGGAAAACUUGGGAAAGGUCAGGAGAAAAUGCUGCCUGAAGUGUGGGUUGAUGCAGGAUGCUUCUGUAGUUGAGCCUAACUCUACACCCUUAUUAGUGAGCAACAUGUGACCAUGGGGGCUGAUGUAAACUUGCUUGGGUACUUCUCUUAGGGAAAGCAUCUUUGAGUGGCAGAGCACCAGGAUGUACUGGAGAAGGGACUGUGCCUCUCUAGUGUGGACAGUGAAGGUUUUUGGUGGCUGAAUGUCCUUUGUUAGUGGGUUUGCGUGCGAGAUGUGGUGACUUUCUGCCUGCCCAAAGGGUUGCUGUCUGUGGGACUCAUGCCUGAGGCAGCUCUGGAUGCUGUGCCCCCAUCUCUCACAUUCCCUGGGUGGGAACCCAAAGGAUAAGAAGCUGUAUUCUAAGAGCAUGAGGAUCAAGGCAUUUCGUGGUAAUUGCUGCUCCUGUGUGGUUCUGUGGGCUCCCGGCUGCUGCCUCUUGGGGGAGGAGAGGAGAGCAGGGAUGGAGCAGUGGUCUCUGCUGUUUGGCACAGCUGUACCGGGGUGUCUGCAGCUCUGAGGCAUGGCAGCUCUUCCCCAGAUGGAGAACAGGGCCCUGGGGGUAUCAGCCGUCUGCUGCUUUGCUGCCCAUAAAACCCUGCAGGCUGUUCCGCACAGUUCUUGGUGUGACUCAAUGGAGAAGAGCAGAUUCUCUGUUGAACUGCACCAAGAACUGUGCUCCCCCCGUUAUCCCUGAAGAUGGGUGCAGAUGACUCUCCUCCUGACGUGUGUGAUCUGUGUGCAUUUGGCUCUCCUUCCUUCCUGGGCAGCUGGCAGGUUAUUUUUGGUUCUGGAACAGCUCAGAUCUAGUUUCUACCAGGGCAAGUCUCUGCCCGGUGCAGUGCUCACAUCCCUGUUGCCAGCAGAGGUGGACCAUGCAUUGACCAGAGCACAUGGGGCUGCUCCAGCACCCACCUGGCCAGCAUCACUGUGAAGUGGCUGCAGAGAAAGGGCUGCUGGCCAGGUCUGUGGGAUUCACCUGGCUGUGGCCACCUCAGCCACCCCAUCUGUGGGCCUCUCUGGGGAGAGGGACGGGCAGGAGCAGCUGGUGCCGUGGCAGGGCUUGGAAAUCCAAGCCAGCACCGAGUCACGUGCAUCCCCUUGGCUCACAGGCUGGGAGAAUGGCAGCCCCUUUUUCCUCUGGCCUCCUGCCCUCAUCCUGCAGUGGAAAACCCUGCAGAAAGGUGAUGGGGCUGAAUGGUUUGCUGGGGGCCUCCUGCCCUGCCCCUCCUCUGCAAAGGUUCACAGGGGAAAGUGAAGAGUGGAUACUGCCAUUCUGCCACUUGGGUGCAAGGACAGUGCUUCUCUAGAGCUCCCCAUGCAGCUCCCAGUGUGUUGGUCCUGCUCCUUGUGAUUCAGAUUUGUCCCUCCUUAUUCCAUUGCAAGCAGAUGUUGCUCAGAGCAUCCUUUUCACAUCAGUACACUGGGAUGCCAUGGGGCCUCUGCCUACCUGGAGGGAGAGCAGAGGGAAAAUGCAAUCAAAUAGGUCUUGUCUCCAAGUUAAACUGCUUGGGUGUCUGCUGUAGCCCGGCUGCUAUUGUUGGGAAAGUGUGGCUCCUUGUUUCUCUGUGCCCUGCUGGCUCUGAGGGCUGCUGGGGAGGAACCUCAAGAGCAUCUACACUGGACAUGUCCUCCAAACUGCUGUAUUUGGAGCCACUAUUUGAAGCUUGUAGCAGUCUGGUGCCUGCUGUGUCCCAGUAUCUUGUCCUAUGCUACAUAUGAAUGCUUGAGGGUCUGCAUGAACUCCUAAACAGGUGGGGAAGGAGCCCUUCCCCAGGCAGUGCCAGGUGUCCAGCAGGGAGAGCAGGACUGCAACCCAGCAGGACCAUGGUGUGUGUGUGUGUGUGUAAGUCAUCUGUGCCCUGUCUUCUGGGUAGGGAGCUUCAGCUCAGCCUUCCACACUCAGCCCCCAUCAGCAAAAUACUGCCUGCUUAUCCUUGAUGUUUCCCUCUGCUCCUGGCAGGGAGUGAAUCUGUUUCCCAUCUCUAAAUGUGGGCUCCUGGGGUGAGCUCGUGAGUGUGGGCUCUCCUGUUCCGAGCCUCUGUGCUCCUCACCAUGUGGGGUUUCUGGGCUCCCUGUGACUGUCCUUGCUCUUCAUUCUGCUCAUCUCCCUGUGAAGCACGAGGGUCUCAAAUGGCACCGAAAACAGAACCAAAUCAGCUGUGAAUAGGCUUGAACUUACUAUUCAGGAAUACAAUAGAAAAUCAAAUAGGUACUACAUCUCCUUUGGCUGCCUGUGAGCCUGGUUUUCUUUGUUGCAGGUGGCUGACAGAAAGAAAACAGGUUUGUUAUGAAAGCACCAGGUCCAGCCUGCCCUGCUCUGUUACCUGGGAAGCUGUGAAGGAGGUGGCUGUGGUUCAUGGGGAGGCUGCUGCUGGAGGCGUUGGCUCAGAGAUGUGCAGGGAGCUCUGGGGUUCUGCAUGGCACAGCAGGUUUGGUGCGGCGUUGGUCCAGGUGUUCCUCCUCACCAAAGGCCUUGAAGAGGAUGAGCUGCCUCCAUGUGUUGCAGCCCAGCCUGGGUUUUGGUUGUGCAAUGAAGAGAACAUCUUGUGCCCCUGUGCUGAUCUGCGUCCUGCUUCUUGGUGCCUGGAACAAGAGUGAAAUUCAAAUGCACAAAGCAGAAUCCAUAUGAGGCAUCCUAUGGGCAUGCAUUGCCCUUGAGAUGUCUCACAGGGGGCAGGUUGCAGGGCUGCUUUGUGCCCCAGUGCUGCUACCAGGCACAUUGCUGUGCCCUUGGUGAGUACCUGGCACAGGGUGCUGCACCUCGGGCACAAAUGCAAUGGGAAGAUGACUUGCUUCCCUUCUGAAGCCUGACUUCCCCCACCCAUUAGAACUGAAGGCAAAAAAAAAAAGAGCAGGAACUGAUGGUGAGGGCAUUUCAAGGAGGCAGAAGUUGGAAAGGGAGUGCUCAGUGCGUGUCUCCAGCCGGCUCUGACUCACCAACACGUGCAGGUACAGCCCUACUGCUGGCUGCAACCAGCUUUUUGGUCAAGCCUUGCUCACCAGUGAAGCUGAGAGGGUUUGCAGAGACAAAAGGGAAGCACAGGAAAGGGAGCAACUAUUGCAGCUUGCUCCUGUUUCCUUUGCACGGCCCCUGAUUGUGUCCCUUUCUCUUGCCCUUUGCAAGCUGCAGCCCCCAGGAAAGGGCCUAACUUGGGUGAAUUGAGAGCCAGGAUCUGCCACUGAUGGCAGGGUUCAGAAUUAAAGCUGCCUCCAAAGCCUUGUUCUGCCUGCCAGACGGCACCCCAGGGGCAGGCGUGGAGCUGGGGCUCUGCUGCAGAGGUAGGAUGGGAACAUAUUCUGGUCCUGCCUGUCUGGUUUUGUGCUCCUGGCUGAGGCUCGGGCGAUUCGGGAUGGAGUUUGGUCUGAGAUGCAGGGCUGUGACUUAUUGUUAUUUAAAACUUCUAAAGCUGCAGAGCUGUAACUUGGGCCCAGAUUCACCUGACAGACCCAAUGUGCCGUGGCUGGAGCAGUGGGCAUGAGGUUGGAUGUGAUGCUGUAGGUUUGAAGUCAAAGAGAUGGACAGGUGAAGCUGCUUGCCUCAGUCACCCCCAAAUCAUGAUUCUGUUCCUGUUUUCAAGUAAGGCAUAUCCUCACCUCUGGAGAGCAAUGGGCUUUUUGUGUGACUGAACACAGCCCAGACGAGUCCUCCCAGCAGUGGGGAAUCUGCUUGGUCUGUUUGUUCUUUGCUGCUGCAACAAGGUGCUCAAAGCAAAAUCCCAACCCCUGGUGCCUUCCUUUAUCCCAUCCCAUUGGAGCAGGCAGCCCUGCAUUGCUGCCCUCACCAUGAGUGACCCCACCAGGAGAAGGGUCCUUGUCCUCAGGAGCACAAGUUGUUGGGCCACCACCCACUGCAGCGGUGCCAGAUGUGGUUUGUCCUCACCUCGCCUUCUUUCUGGCCAUGUGUAGCCACCAUGAGUCCAUGCCGUUUUGUUGCAGGCAAAGGGAGGGUUGGCCUCGUGUUUUUGCCCCUCUAAAUGUCACAAUUCACUUCUCUUUGGGGAAUAAUGUGCAUCCUUUUGCAGAGCAGAUCUACAGCCCGGCGCUGCCCUUGGUACUGCAGCGGUGCCAGAUGCUGAGGGUUGGAGAGCUCCGAGCUGCCAUCCUCCAUGAGCAAUGCCACCUUCCAGGCACCGGUUUGAAUGAGAACAUCAGCAUUGCCUUUGGAGCAGGGACACACUGCACACAGGCACCGCCACGUGCAAGGCCUGCAAGAGCUUAACUGCUGCAGCAGAUGGGACUUGGAAGCCAUGUCGGAGCAAAUAUUUAAAGAUCCGGUUUUAUAAAGACACUUUUUGGCCUAUAAACCACCCGCCCUGUGGCUCCUGGUGCUGUUGCUGCAGAGUCCUCUGUUUGCUGUUCCUGCUGCUGCUCCACACUACCGUCCGCAGAUUGGAAUGGGAAGCGACUUCUAUUGACCCUAUGGGGUUCCUGGGAUCAAGCAGACCCCAAAGCUGGAGAUGAGCCCAUCCUGGUGGAUGUCUUCCUGCUGCCUCUCACACAUCUCUAUGAGGACUGUGAGUUUGGGAUCCCACGUCCCCUUUCUCUCCAUGAUACAUCAGGCUCCCAGCAAUGAUCCUGAGCUAUAUGCAUGGCACAGAGCAAUCUCUGGUUCAUGCUUUCCUUCCUGCACAGCCUUUCAGCCUUUGGUCCCACAGAGCCAAGCACUGAUGUGUCUGCUAACACAGGUGGCUCUGCUCCUGAACAAGCAAAAGAAAAGUAAAUAGUCCCUCAGAUUGCAGCCUGGAUGCAGCAGGUUGGAUUCCUGCUCUCCUCCUCAAGGUAGUUCUUGUUUGCAUCCUCUAUGAGAGCAUGAUGAUGACUGGAUGCUGUAACUUUCUGGGAUAGACCCAAAGUAUUCUCCCUAUACUUUCACUUUGUAGGAAGCCCCACUCCACCUCUCCAGGGAGACCUGCAGUGCAGUGCAUUGCUGUCUCUGUAGCACUUUGAGAUCUGCAUUUAUGAGUGGUUCCUGAAGCUCUGAAUAGCACUGAACUCCUUCUGCAAUGGAAUUCCAAAGACAUUCACAACUCUUAAGAAAAAGCCAUGCUGGUGCAUUGGUUAAACCCAGCAUUACACCCUUUGUUUAUGUAGUGGUGGCCCAAGCUGCUGGAAUGCCUGGUGAUAACAGGAUGGUUGUGCUCGGCUGGAGGGAGAGGGGCUGAGAUUUGGUGCCUGAUGAGAUCAAAGGGCCUUUGAUUUCAAUGGGCAUUGAACCAGGCACUGCCAUAUCAAAUAGGCUGAUCAGAUCAUAGUGUGGUGCUUCUGGCAUAGACUCCCAUUGCUGUGUCAGGGCAGGCAGUGCAAAUCAGGUGGCCAGUGGGGUGAGUGGGCACACUGAACUGUCCCUAAUGGAAUGGGACAUCCUGCAGCAGGGCAGUGCAAAGUGGUUUCAUGUCUGGUGUGCCGUGUGGGUCACCUCCAGGCUGGGAUGUGUCCUUUCCCACCUUGUUCCUGCACAGGAGGGUGGCUGGAGGAGCUGCCGAGGGAGAGGAAUUGAUGGGGUGAUGUUGAAUCCUUAAUCUCGUGUUUCAGGGCUUCUCCAGGCGUUCUGCAAGGAAAGAUGAUUAUUUUUUUCUUUGCAGCCUUCGGUGUAGCAAUCAGGCACCUGAAAUUGUUUCUGCCGUCUUUUAAACGGGGAGAUUGGGCACAGCAAGAGGCGUGCUGUGAAGGGAGGGGUGUGCUGGUGCUCCUCAGGGAUGCUGCAGCCCCAGGUUCUGUCUGGGGGAUCGCUGCCUCGAGCUUUCUAAUCCCAAACCCUGCUGUGUUGGCAGGAGCCCUGUUCUGCAGUGUGGGCCACGGUCGCUUUCCCAGCCAUCCCGGAGGGACGUUACCCUGCUCCUGCAGGAGCACAAGAUGUUUGCAGCAUCCUUGGUCUCUCCUGCUCUUUACCUGGGGCUCAUUAGCACUGUGGUCCUUUUGGUUCAUUUGGGAGAGCACUCGGUGGUGAGGCACAGUGUGUGUCUGCAGGGACUGCUGUCACACCAGGAGUGCUCUGCUUUCCUUGUCUACCAGUUGGGUUUUAAACCAUAAGCUCCCGUUCUGAGCUUGUUUUGCUUUGUUUCCCUGUGGCUGGGGAAAAUGGCAGCGUCUGCACGUGAUGUGUAAGCAGAGAGCACCCAGCCCUGUGCACCGCCGCGCUCUGUGGCUGCAGGAAUGUUAUCUCCAGUGUCUCCACCUGCCCCCAUAAACUUGGCUGGAAGUGGGUCAGUAGGUUUAGAAGUUCUAUGGAGAUACGUAUCAGCCUCAUACCUUUAAAAGAAAGCUGACUGAAGUCAAAUCCAAAGCAACAAUGAAAACUUGGAGAGGAAUGGAGAGAAGAGGCAGUGGAUUUGCAGAUAGAGAAAUCCCCGUGGGCCCUAUCGAGUGUUUUGCCAGUGUUAAGCGCUGAGUAAAAUAUAAUGCUGGAGAGAUCAGAUCGCUGGGUAUUCCCUUUGGAUGGGGAGAUCCUGGGUUGAAUACUUCUUUGGUGAGUCAUCUUCUGGAGCUAUCGGAACAGGGAUCUGGCACAGGGCUCUCACUGCUGGAUGUGGCAUUGCUUUCAGGCUGAAACCACUUGGAGAAGGCAUGUAAAUGGUACCAGCUCUCUGCUGCUAAAGCUCUGGAUGCUUGGUUAUGACAUCUGGGAUGUCCCAGCCACCCAGAGCUGGGGCUGACAGUGCUGAGGGCAACCAGAGGGUUUUCUGCUGCAGAACAUGGGGGUGAACACCCACAAACCCUGCUUCACCAAAGCAUCGCCUGAGCUUGCACAGCCCAUCACAGGGCUCUUCCAGGACUUGAACUGCUGGAUCCUCCUCUGUGAACAGACUAAAAGAUACAGGAGAUCAAGACAAGGGGAAGAACCAAUUGCUAAGUGAAGAUGCAUGUGUGGCACAGGGAGGUGUUGGGUCAACAGAAGAGAAGUCCUACAAGGAAAGACUCCAAAGGAGAAAGUCCAGUUAGGUUUUUGCUUGGCUUUUUUUUCAUCCAUUGAAGAGAUACUUAGAAAGUGGAGAGCAGGCGUUGAGGGAGUGCAAGGAGAGCAUGGUAAGAGGCUGAGGGCUGCGUGUGUGACCCUCGCUGUGUUGUGCCAAUGGGUUUUGCUCCAUGGAGUCUGGUCCAGGCAGAGGAAUGUGCUCCCUUUUUUGGGAGCUGCCUAACAGCUGUAGUUGGACCUGGGGAUGGCUUGGUUGUGUCCUUCCUUUGGGAUCAAGGAGCAGCCGACAAUCUGUGGAUAGCACGAGAGCUGCUAAUGCUGCGUCUGAAAAGCUGCAGAGUUAAUGGGAGGGGGGAAUGGGUUUAAAGUUGUAUUUCCUCCAAUAAAUCAGCACAGCCUCGGCCUCCCCGCCCCCAUCGGUGCCUGUGUGCACAUGUUGGAGAGAAAAUCCAAAAAAACCUGAGGACUCUGCAUUAUUGCUCUCUGCUCGGGGCUGCCCAGCCUCACACCAGGACAAGCACUGCUUAAACACCAACGGUGUAGUCUACAGCAGGAAGCAGAGCAGGGCUCAUCCACACCGGGCUGCCCUGCUACUUCUGUGCUCCAACAAGCUGUUACUGAGCGUGGGCUCCCAGCGCUGCCAGCAAAGCUAUUCUCAUGCAGGAGAGAGAAAUGAGCUGUGCAAAAAGCAAGCAUGUCUCGUAUCGCUAAGCGUCACUCGCCAGGUCAAGCAGUACAUGGUGGCACCGCUGCAUGGGGCUGGUUGGAUGUGGUGGAUGUUGGCAGGGAAUUACCCCAACUGCUGUGGCUAAAUCAUAGGAUCACAGAGUCAUUUCAGUGGGAAGGGACCCUUAAAUGCUGACUGGUCCAACUCCCUGCAAUGAACAGGGGUACCCAUAGCUCCACCAGGUGCUCAGAGCCCUGUCCAGCUCUGCCCUCAGGUGCCUGCAGCCAUCACCCAUCACCUCUCUGGGCAAUUGGUCAGAGUGGCCCUAGUGGGAUGAUGCAGUGAUGGCAGCAGGAACAAAAUGGAUCACAAGCAGAGCCUGGGCAGGGGGUGAUGGAGCAACUCAGCAUUAUAUCUCAAGGGCUCUGAUUUUUGGCAGAGCCAAGCCGAUGGGAUGCUGAGCUGUGGGAGGGCUGGCCUGUCUCCAAGUGCUCCCCGGGUGCUGCUAUCUCCUGGUGAUCUGUGAUCCACUCGAGUGUGUCCAUCUGGAUGCCAGCCUGGGCUGGUAUCUGUUCCUGGUGGCUUGUUGGGUUUGUGUGUAUCCUGCAAUCUCUGGCUCUUUUUUGGAGCUGGGAGUGAUUGUGUUCGCUCCCCAGUUCAGCAAGUCAAAGUGAGACUGCUGGGGGAGAGGGGAGAUUUUAAGCUCUGUCUCUGGAGUGAGAGAGAAGGGCUCAGCUUCCAAGUGCCUCACUGGAGGGGAUCCCAACCAGCCCUGCCUUGCUGGGGCAGCUCCCUCCUCUCUUCUCCCUCCCACUCAGGGGCUGUAGGGCUCUUGGUCCUCCCAUGCCCUGCCGGAUGUUGGGGAGCCAGACGGGACAGACCAGCAGCUCCCAGCCCCAAACAAUGGGGCCAUUGAGGGCUGGAGCUGGGGGCUUGGCUGACUGUGGGCUAUGGAUGGGGAGGCCAGCUGAGCUGUGCUUGUUCCACCUCAGCAGAGUCAGAGCCCAAAAUAGGAGCAGUGCGGCCAUUUGGAGGCUGAGCCUCUUUAUCCAGAGGUCGCAGCUUGUUUGCGUGUGGGGUUUGCGUGGAGUAUUUAUGUCUUGGAGUGGGGCUGGGGGCAGGAAAUGAAAGGGGAGGGGUUGGCAGUUGUGCAGACUUAUUUUUGUUUUGUUUUGUUUUCUGUGCUAAAAUGGUGCAGAAGUAUUGGUAUUUUUAUCCCCCCACCUUCCCGUAUGUCCAUAUGCUUCCUUGCAGACUGGGAGCCCCAGUGAGAGCAGUGCUGUGACUCAGUGCUGGAGCGUUGAGCAGGUGAAGGGGACAAGCACUGCACCCUAUAAACUGGUGGAGCUGCCAAGCUGUCCCCAUUGUACCCAACUGCUAUUUCCCUAUGCUGCCAUCCUAGUUCCUAAUCUCAGGCUCCUCUGUGUCCAUGGGCUGUGCCUGCAGGUAGCGCUUCCCCUUCCUCAGCCCCCUCUGAUCUGCUUUCCUGGCACAGCAGUGGGUGCUGCCUGGCUCUUGCAGACACCAAGCAUCUGCUGUGCCCAGUGCAUCCGAAACUCGCACUUCUUUUGUAUCUGUGUGUGGAUUUAAGGGCUCAGCGUGAGGUGCCUAUAGAGGUGGUCUCGGUUGGAGCCUGUUCUGAAUGGUGCUGCUUGAACGGGGCUGCGUCUGCGUCGGGAGAUGUGCAGAAUUAAUGCAAGGUUUGGAUCAGCUCAUUAACUGCCUGUGCCGGUCCAAAUCUUGCCCUUGGAGGUAUGUGUGUUGCUGCCAGUGCCAUCAACAUAAAGACUCUCGCCAGCACAGCCAGGGAUGGGAUUUGGCCUGUUUAUAUUCAUGGUGCAAAAAGAGCUGAAGGAUUAAUGCCUGAUUACUUCUCGGGCCAGCGGGAGCCUCGGGUACCCAUCUCUUGUGCAGCUAAAGCGCAGGGCAGAGCAAGACAAAGCUUUGCAACAGAAUCCUCCCAAUUACCUCACCGCUCUCCCCGCGCGCCGUAAAAUGCACCGUCAGCUCCACCAGCCAGCGCUCAGCCUGCAGCCAAACAACUCCUGCAUUGCUGCAUCCCCCUCCGCCCUGUGCUGACCCCAGUUUGGGGUGGUUUGGUGGAGCCCUGCCUGCUCCCUACCUGCCCCUUGUGUUCAUAUGAGCAUCCUUUCGUGCCCCCCCAGCGGAGCCUGCGCGUUGGAUGCAGUUUCUAUGGUUACUGCAGCUCCUGGGCUCUGGGAAGAGCAGUUGGAUGCUGGAGCUGGCAGGACCAGCAUCUCCCUCUGGAUCAGCCUGAAACUUGACAGGGAUCGGUGUGUGGCAGAGCAGGACAAAGAGAGAAGGGGAGAGGGAACGCAAUGAGAAAAGCUCAGCUUGUGCUGGGUACCGGGGUUGCCCCCAACAGGUUAUGCUCUGAACAGGCUUCAAAAAGGAAUCAAAAAGGGUGGGGAGGAAAAGAAAAUAGAUGAGAAAACUGCAGUUCUAGUGCUUGCAUGAAGGUGACAUUUGUUGUAGCAUCUCCAGCCGUCGAUACGGGGAUCUGAACGUAAGGAAGUUAUAACUGCUGCCAAGCUGACUGUUUCUACCCACAUUUUUCUUUUCCCCAACCCUUUUUUUCCCCUCUGUUUCAUUCUUUUGGUGCUUUUUAUUCUCUGAUAUUUCCCUUCCUACACACACAGGUUUUCUCUUCGCUCCUACAUAUCCCUCUUCUGUCGGUUAGGUUAAAAGUUGGAGGCAUGUUCAGUCCUCACCACAUGCAGGUGCCACUUGGGGCACCAAGAAGUGCCAGCUGGGAAUUGAUGUGACUUUUUGGGGAUAGUUUUUGCCCUUCAGAGCCUUCUCCCGAUGAUGGACGCCAGCACUGAGAUCUGAGCACAGCGUGUGUAGGUGCAAACCCAGCCUGGUGUAUUCAUCUGCAAUUGGGACCUUCCAUCCUCUCAUCUCCUCUAACUCAAAUUCAGGUUGGUUAUUAGUGCUGGGGUCACCAUCUCUGGAGGCCUCCCAGAGCUGUGGGGAUGUGGCACUGAGGGACGUGUCAGUGGGCUGGUUUGGGGUUGGACUUGGGAAUCUGAGGGGUCUUUUCCAUCUUGAGUGACUCUAUGAAAUAUGCCUUGAGCCUAUGGGAUCGAACUCAGUGCCAGAGGUUGCAAGUAGGUGAUGUUUGAGUUCCCUUCCAACCCAAGCCAUUCUCCACUUGUAGGUUGGCCUCUCAGAGCCCUUUUCUUUCUGACUUGGCCGCUUCACCUCUAGACACCUGGUAGACAGGGCAGUGCCUCUUGUGCUGUAAUAGGCAUCUCGAUCCCUGCUGUUACAGGCAGGGUGUGUGGGGACAGGAAUGAAAAUAACUAGGCCAAAGGCUUGGGAGAUGAAGGGCCCUCGUCCUGACCUGCUUGGGAGGUAACUGGGAGCACAGGUCUCCCCAUGCUUCCCAGCUGAGCAUGGCUCCUCACCUGGUUGGACUGGCUUGCCCAUCUCCCUGGGGCUGAGGCUCAGGCAGACACCGGGCUGCAGUGGUUACAGCCAUGCUCUGAAUGCAGAGGAGGGGGCAGGCAGGCAGGGGAAAGCAUUUGCAGUGUUCUGGCUUCACCCAGCAACCAAGAAGUUCCCACAGAGCCAUGAAACAGUACCCUGCCAUCACUAACCCUGUGCCCCCAGGUGGCAGCUGAGGAGGAUGGAUGGAUGGAGAGUGGGUGUGAGCCCAGCAGUUCUCCCUUCCAAUCCAAGCAAUUCUAUGACUGUAUAAUUACUUACACUGGGGCUGCCUGUCCAGCCCUGCCUGCGGGGCCGGCGGCUGCCGGGGCUGUGUGGGUGGCAUGGGGCAAGCAUGGCGUGUGGGGCCGGCCUGGUUCCUGCCCCUCAUUGUGCGUGGGAGAGGCAGCAGUGCCUGGGGAGACGUCCCAUGGCUUCUCUGGAGCCAUAGCCUAGUUUUGAGGCAGUCCCUGCCCGUCUGGCCCUUUUAGGGGCAAAACAGUUCUUUAUUUUGGGUUGUGGAUAGGCUGAUGGAGGUAUGGAUGGAUACGAGACUGGCUGAACUGGGCUCCUCUCUGUGUCUGUGCUGGUGGCACAGCUGGGCAGAGGGGCUGUUGGGACCAUGCUGCAGCCCUAUAGAGCAGCACUGAUGCAGUGGGAUGUUGCUGGGAGCAGCAGGCAGGGUGUCUGCAGGCCCCCGCGCUCUGAAUCACCUGCUCAACCCUUCAGCUGCCGGGACUUGCAGCUGCCUCAGCCGUGUUUACCCUUCCCCGUUCCCUUUUCUCCUUUCUCCCCAGGCAGAUGAAAGCCCGACAAGAAAGGGCAGACGCGGCUUCCCCUCAACAAGUUGCUGCAGGUGAGGCAGAGCUGCUUGGCACGCUGCACAGACACCUGGCCUGGCUGCUCCAUGCACCAUUUUGUGCAGGAGGGAGGAGGAGCACCGGGCAGAUCAGAGGGGGAUGGAUGGGGUGGGCUGGGUGCUGUGGGCACAGGACUCAAGCUGAGCCAGUCCUGGAUGGAUCCAGUGGUCUUAGGGAUUGAAGCAUCAUGUCUGUAGUUUGGAUACUGCCUUCUCCUUCUACAUCACAGGAGGGAGACCUUGGAGGGUGAGCAGGUUGCAUGGAGAGGUUGUGGUUGCCUCGUCCCUGGAGGUGCUCAAGACCAGUUUGGAUGGGGCCAAAAAAGGCUGUUUGACAUUCAUGUGAGUGGACCAAAAAGGUUUUGUUACACUGAGGCUGGGUGAGAAGGGCCAAGACCACUCCAUCUAACCAGCCAAACCCAGAUCAGUCACUGUGAGAUGCAUGGCAGGAGCAUUCUUUCUCAGAGCUGAUUGCAGCUCUUCUGUGUGCAUGGAAGCAGCUUGGGAAGCAGCCUGGUUUCCUGAAAGUACAUAACUUGUAUUGAACAAUAAGAUUUUCCCCCCUUCCGAUUUAUUUUCCUUGUCGUGAAAGCGUCACGGUCACUUCUGUUGAACAAAAUGAAACCUCGUUUUAGUCCAUGUCCUUAGGAGUGUUUGAAAUACCAUGGAGAAAGUCUACAGAUUGGUUUUGAAGCCAUCCAAAGGGUAAAAGUGAUGGAUUGGUUUAUAUCUCAAACCUCUCUAACCCCACUUGUCUGCAUGGAGCUCCAAACCCCCACAGCACCUACCUCCAAGGAGGGGAAUAUUUUACACGUGGGCCUGUCUGUGUGGAACUCAAGGCUGUUUUUACUUGGUGCAGGGAAAUGUCCCUGGGCUCCUUUUGGUGUCACUUUGCUGUUCCCAAGCGGUUUCCUGGAAAGGCAGCAGGAAGUCGAACAUGUAAGUACAUUUCUGAAGCACUUGGGUAUUUCCAAGUGAUGCAACUUCAGAUUCCUUCCCUAACCAACCCCCUCCUUUUCCUUUUGGGCUCCUUUUGGCCUCAAAGUUCAGCUUGUCUUUUUGUUGUUUGGUUUUUGAGUUAUGGAGGCAGAGCCCUACAGUGGGAGGAGGUGGGCAGCACGCAGCCAGGUGCAUGGGGGGCUGGGGAGGGGAAGCUGCCCCUUUGGGGAACCUUUGCUCUGUCUUGCAGGGCCAUCUGUGGGACUGACUGUGUGAUCCUCCCACGGUCUGGACCCAUCAGCAGCCCUGAAACCAGCUGGCAGGGAUGUCAAACAUGACUUGCCCCUGCAGACAAAGUCACGCUCAUCAUCUCUGUAAUUAAUCCGGUUCCUGGAGGUCGUGGUUUGAACACAGACAAGUUGUCCUGGGGAAGCAACACCCUCUGGAUCUGGUUGUUCCUCACAGGUAUUUGCACAGUUUUGCAGGUGAAACUCUGCAUGCAGCCCGGUGGGGCCAACGCUGGCUGCUGCCAUUGGGUACUCAUGAGUGAGAGAACAUGAGACGGAGUCAGGGAACCUCUGAGACCAAUACUGGGAUGAGGCAGGAGGAGAGGGAGGUUUUAAAGCCUUGGUCAAGUUGAAGGGAGUUGUUUCCCUUUCUGGUUAUGAAUUUCUCUUGUCGCUUGGCUGUGUCUUGUUGCAAGGAGCUCAGUUCCCAUUGACUCCAGCAGGACCAGAGCUGGACCAGAGGGGCACUUGAUGCAAAAGAGGCUGCAAGAAUAGAUUCAGCUUUAUCUCUUAACGAGCCUGUUCAUUCUCUCACCUGUUGAUGGGUCAAAUUUUGAAGCUCUGACUCAGUCUGAACUUUCAGUGGCUUUUACACCUGGUGAUUUAAAUAUCUGCCUGCACAGGAGGUGAACACCAAGCGGCAUCCCUACCUGCAGCACCGUACCAGGUUACCUUCCCCUUUCCCCCCUCCAGCUGUUUACUGUUUCCCUCCCACCUCCUGACUCAGAAGAAUGGGACACAAAUGCUCCCACCUCACCCACUCCGGUACAAUGCUUGGCAGCUGCCGGGGAAAAAGAGUUUGGGUGAAGCUGCCAGGCUUUGCCUGGGAGCCAUGGAGCAGAGCACGAGAGCUGUUCCACCAACGCAGCCGCCAGCAGCAGGAGCCUCGGGGAGCAGACGAGCCAACUGCUGGGGGUGCUGAUAACAUCUGGACCCACCUGAUGAGGGAGCAUCUCCCCGUGCUGUAAGUGCAGGGUUGGGACCUUUCGGUGCUGAGCCGCCUCUGCUCCCACCGAGUUCAGCAGGAGGUCAGGGUACAUAGCAAUGGGGUCGUGCAAGCUGUGGGUGCUGGGGCUGAGCCUAAGGCAGUGCUGGGACUGCUGCCUGCUGGGCUGGGUGAGUCCUUGUCGGGUGGCUCCUACCAAGUCUGCAGAUAGAAGUGGUGUGAAGCUGUUCCAGGGUGAGAGAGAAACCUCUGGAACCAGCUGCAGUGCUAUUCCUGGGGUAAGAGAGUGGCUGAGAAGCCCCCAAGUGGCCCUUAGAAAGGCAUAGCUGUAAAAGCACAGGAGUCCCAGGGGAGCUGGAGCUUGUCCCCAUGUCCCUGUGCGGGGCGGUGGGGGCUGCAGUCAAAGUAUUCCCGUGGCCCCGUGCUGUCACCCUGCUGCAGCCACAGCACAGCGCCAGCUUGCUCUUCCCUCCUCAUCUCUCCUUCUUCCUCCCGUGGCCCCUCACAUCCUCCCUGCCUCAAUCCAGCUUUAAAAUCUCAAGGCAAAUCCCACUAAAUCGGGAGAUUUCGCCCGGCUGCUUCCCUGCCCUCUCUGCUCUCCCGCUCCCUCCGCCUUUUCUGGCCUGCUGGGUUUUGUGUUUCAGUUGUUAUAAAUAAAGCUCCAGGCACUGAUUUGGGUAUA